UCAUGGUGGCGGCUGGGGUCAGCCCCACGGUGGUGGCUGG
rfam:Canis lupus familiaris chromosome 24, whole genome shotgun sequence.